rnacentral:rRNA from 1 species
CCUACGGGAGGCAGCAGUGAGGAAUAUUGGUCAAUGGACGCAAGUCUGAACCAGCCAUGCCGCGUGCAGGAAGACGGCUCUAUGAGUUGUAAACUUCUUUUGUACGAGGGUAAACUCAUAUACGCGUAGCAGUCUGAAAGUAUCGUACGAAUAAGGAUCGGCUAACUCCGUGCCAGCAGCCGCGGUAAUACGGAGGAGUCAAGCAUUAUCCGGAUUUCUUGGGUUUAAAGGGUGCGUAGGCGGAAUAUCAAGUCAGCGGUAAAAAUUCGGGGCUCAACCCCGUCGUGCCGUUGAAACUGAUGGUCUUGAGUGGGCGAGAAGUAUGCGGAAUGCGUGGUGUAGCGGUGAAAUGCAUAGAUAUCACGCAGAACUCCGAUUGCGAAGGCAGCAUACCGGCGCCCAACUGACGCUGAAGCACGAAAGCGUGGGUAUCGAACAGGAUUAGAUACCCUUGUAGUC